rnacentral:rRNA from 1 species
UACGUAGGCAGCGAGCGUUGUUCGGAAUUACUGGGCGUAAAGAGUGUGUAGGCGGUGCUCUAAGUUCGGUGUGAAAUCUCCCGGCUUAACUGGGAGGGUGCGCCGGAAACGUGGAGUGCUCCGAGCGUGGGAGAGGGAAAGCGGAAUCCUGGUGUAGCGGUGAAAUGCGUAGAUAUCAGGAGGAACGCCUGCGGUGUAGAC